AGAGUUUGAUCCUGGCUCAGGAUGAACGCUGGCGGCGUGCUUAACACAUGCAAGUCGAACGGGGCAAGGGACCAAAGACCUUCGGGCCGGCGGUUCCAAAGCCUAGUGGCGGACGGGUGAGUAACGCGUGGGCAACCUGCCCCAUACCGGGGGAUAACAGCCGGAAACGGCUGCUAAUACCGCAUAAGCGCCAAAUGCCGCAUGGCAUGGGGCGGAAAACUCCGGUGGUAUGGGAUGGGCCCGCGUCUGAUUAGGCAGUUGGCGGGGCAGCGGCCCACCAAACCGACGAUCAGUAGCCGGCCUGAGAGGGCGGCCGGCCACAUUGGGACUGAGACACGGCCCAGACUCCUGCGGAAGGCAGCAGUGGGGAAUAUUGCACAAUGGGGGAAACCCUGAUGCAGCGACGCCGCGUGGGUGAAGAAGUAUUUCGGUAUGUAAAGCCCUAUCAGCAGGGAAGAAAAAAAUGACGGUACCUGACUAAGAAGCACCGGCUAAAUACGUGCCAGCAGCCGCGGUAAUACGUAUGGUGCAAGCGUUAUCCGGAUUUACUGGGCGUAAAGGGAGCGCAGGCGGCGCGCCAAGUCUGAUGUGAAACCCCGGGGCUCAACUCCGGGCAUGCAUUGGAAACUGGCGGGCUGGAGUGCCGGAGAGGUAAGCGGAAUUCCUAGUGUAGCGGUGAAAUGCGUAGAUAUUAGGAGGAACACCAGUGGCGAAGGCGGCUUACUGGACGGCAACUGACGCUGAGGCUCGAAAGCGUGGGGAGCAAACCAGGAUUAGAUACCCUGGUAGUCCACGCUGUAAACGAUGAAUAUAGGGUGUCGGGUGCCAGGGGGCAUCCGGUGCCGCAGCAAACGCAGUUAAGUAUUCCGCCCUGGGGAGUACGGUUCGCAAGAAAUGAAACUCAAAGGAAUUUGACGGGGACCCGCACAAGCGGUGGAGCAUGUGGUUUAAUUCGAAGCAACGCGAAGAACCUUACCAGGCCUUGACAUCCUGCUGGCGCAUAGUGUAAAGCUGUGUUCCCUUCGGGGCAGCAGAGACAGGUGGUGCAUGGUUGUCGUCAGCUCGUGUCGUGAGAUGUUGGGUUAAGUCCCGCAACGAGCGCAACCCCUGCCCUUAGUAGCCAGCGCAUAGAGGCGGGCACUCUAGGGGGACUGCCGGGGACAACCCGGAGGAAGGCGGGGAUGACGUCAAAUCAUCAUGCCCCUUACGGCCUGGGCUACACACGUGCUACAAUGGCGUAACAGAGGGAAGCGAAGCCGCGAGGCGGAGCAAACCCCAGAAAUAACGUCCCAGUUCGGACUGCAGCCUGCAACUCGGCUGCACGAAGCUGGAAUCGCUAGUAAUCGCGGAUCAGAAUGCCGCGGUGAAUACGUUCCCGGGUCUUGCACACACCGCCCGUCA
rnacentral:rRNA from 1 species